rnacentral:tRNA from 1 species
GGUCGCUUAGCUCAGCCGGUUCAGAGCGUUCGCCUCACACGCGAAAGGUCAUAGGUUCGAAUCCUAUAGCGACCACCA